rnacentral:tRNA from 1 species
AAGAUAUUCUUAAAUAAAUUGUCAAUUUAUUUAUAAUAAAAUAAAUAUAUAUCUUA